rnacentral:rRNA from 1 species
AGUGAACGCUGGCGGUAGGCCUAACAUGCAAGUCGAACGGCAGCACAGUAAGAGCUUGCUCUUACGGGUGGCGAGUGGCGGACGGGUGAGGAAUACAUCGGAAUCUACUUUUUCGUGGGGGAUAACGUAGGGAAACUUACGCUAAUACCGCAUACGACCUACGGGUGAAAGCAGGGGAUCUUCGGACCUUGCGCGAUUGAAUGAGCCGAUGUCGGAUUAGCUAGUUGGCGGGGUAAAGGCCCACCAAGGCGACGAUCCGUAGCUGGUCUGAGAGGAUGAUCAGCCACACUGGAACUGAGACACGGUCCAGACUCCUACGGGAGGCAGCAGUGGGGAAUAUUGGACAAUGGGCGCAAGCCUGAUCCAGCCAUACCGCGUGGGUGAAGAAGGCCUUCGGGUUGUAAAGCCCUUUUGUUGGGAAAGAAAAGCAGCAGGUUAAUACCCCGCUGUUCUGACGGUACCCAAAGAAUAAGCACCGGCUAACUUCGUG